UAACCUGCUAACUAGUGGGCCUAGCGAGAGCUGGGCAGUACUUCUUAGAGGGACUGACUACGUUUAGUAGUCGGAAGUUUGAGGCAAUAACAGGUCUGUGAUGCCCUUAGAUGUUCUGGGCUGCACGCGCGCUACACUGACACAGUCAGCGAGUAUCAGCUUGGCCGAGAGGUCUGGCAAAUCUUGUGAAACUGUGUCGUGCUGGGGAUAGAUCAUUGCAAUUAUUGGUCUUGAACGAGGAAUUCCUAGUAAGCGCAAGUCAUCAGCUUGCGUUGAUUACGUCCCUGCCCUUUGUGCACGCCGCCCGUCGCU
rnacentral:rRNA from 1 species